rnacentral:rRNA from 1 species
GAUGAACGCUGGCGGCGUGCCUAAUACAUGCAAGUCGAGCGAACAGACGAGGAGCUUGCUCCUCUGACGUUAGCGGCGGACGGGUGAGUAACACGUGGAUAACCUACCUAUAAGACUGGGAUAACUUCGGGAAACCGGAUCUAAUACCGGAUAAUAUAGUGAACCGCAUGGAUCAAUAGUGAAAGCGGGUUUUGCUGUCACUUAUAGAUGGUUCCGCGCCGCAUUAGCUAGUUGGUAAGGUAACGGCUUACCAAGGCAACGAUGCGUAGCCGACCUGAGAGGAUGAUCGGCCACACUGGAACUGAGACACGGUCCAGACUCCUACGGGAGGCAGCAGUGGGGAAUCUUCCGCAAUGGGCGAAAGCCUGACGGAGCAACGCCGCGUGAGUGAUGAAGGUCUUCGGAUCGUAAAGCUCUGUUAUUAGGGAAGAACAAAUGUGUGAGUAACUAUGCACGUCUUGACGGUACCAAAACAGAAAGCCACGGCUAACUACGUG